rnacentral:rRNA from 1 species
CGCGUAGGCGGUUUGCUCAGUCAGCUGUGAAAGCCCCGGGCUUAACCUGGGAAUUGCAGUUGAUACUGGCAGACUGGAAUGCGGGAGAGGGAGGUAGAAUUCCAUGUGUAGCGGUGAAAUGCGUAGAUAUAUGGAGGAAUACCAGUGGCGAAGGCGGCCUCCUGGCCUGACAUUGACGCUGAGGUGCGAAAGCGUGGGGAGCAAACA